rnacentral:lncRNA from 1 species
UCCUAUCAUGUGGUUGCUACAUCUGUUAUCCAAAUACCACACAUUCUUUUACUCUUCAGACACCUUAUGGCAAGCAAAGAACCAAUUCCCAUCAUUCUUUUCUUCUUCAGUAAAUGUUACUUGUUAUUGAUUAUCGAGACGAUAGUCUUUUUGUACAUGUUUGAACUUCUUGAAAUUGUAGCAUUGUGGCUUGCCUCUAUUCCAACAAUCCAU